UCAACACGUGAAUCCUGCACGACAACUAGCGCGGAACAUCAAACCCGGACGUCAUGCGCACUUGGGACUGUGAUCGGCGGUGUUGUUGGAGGAAUCUUUAUCGGGAUAAUAGCAACAACUUUGGUAGCCAUAAUAGUCCAUCGUAAGAUACAAGGCAAACCAGUCAAGACCGAAGAUCCAGGUCAAACACACAAUGCAGCCUAUGAAGACGCUGAUAUUGCGGAGAGUUCCCUCACCAAAAGUGAUGCUUAUGGUGUUGUCGAAUCCGCCCAGCAACCACAGUAUGAAUUUGUUUGCCCGCAGUAACUCACUGAUUGUGCACAUUUAAUCAUGCUCUAUAGUUUGGUGUGCUUCUCUGUGUUCUUUGCCUAUUGUUUUGGCUCAGCACAAUUCAUCUCAGUAUACAUUCUUGCAUUUCUACCCGUCGCAACGAUUUUCUUAAUCAGUUUGUUUUGCAAUUCCUCAGUUUGGUGUUUAGUUUUUAAUAGUUUUAUUCCAAACAAUACAUGGCUGGGGUAGCCAAUGACCACUUUGCGUGGCGAUUGCAGGUUUUUUAUAACCACAACGUACUGUCCACCGCCUUCUUUAUUCUCAUUCUAUCUUUGGAUUAUUUUAUUCUGGGAGCGUGCUCCCAACGAAUUCAGAGAUUGACUUUCAACCGUGGCUUUUCCUUGCAGCUCAAAAGAGUUAAUUUCAAAUCUAUGCCUUCAACUCACGUUGUGCUCAGCGGAGCACACAACUUAUCCAUAACUAGGCUCAACACACUCGCCCCCAAACACAAUUUACCAUUAAAUCGCGUUAACGCUUUUUCCAGGGUUAUUAGUGGUACUUAAAAUGUAAGAUUGUUUUCCAUUUUAAAGAAACUUGUAAUGUUGUUUCUUCUUUUCCAAUACUCUCUGAUUGACUUCAUAUGCAUACACACACUUCACGUCGUCUUUUUCUCUCAAUUUUUAUCCCGCAAUCAUUUCUCACUUUUCUCGUAUAAAACUGUUUCAUAUUUCUAUCCUUUUUCCGGAUGUGUUUUUCCAUGUACACGUAAAAAAGAAUAUGAUUGAUGCAGAGGGAUUUUGGGAUUGCAAUAAAGAGAAUCAGCUGAA